UUGAAGGCAGGCAGAAGGGAGAAAAGAAGAAAGUGGGUCAAAGCCCAGAUGGUUACGUUUAGAAGAUACCUAAGAUAAUAACCAUUGCUUUACAUAGUUUUAUUUACUAGUGCAGUGCGAAUAGCAGAUAAGUUUACAUUUAAGAGUAGAAGUAGUAGAAUAAAACUUCAUGUAAAU